rnacentral:tRNA from 4 species
GCCGGAGUGGUGGAACUGGUAGACGCGCCGGACUCAAAAUCCGGUGAGGGCAACCUCGUGCGGGUUCGAUUCCCGCCUCCGGCACCA